rnacentral:rRNA from 1 species
AUACGUAGGGGGCAAGCGUUAUCCGGAUUUACUGGGUGUAAAGGGAGCGUAGACGGUUUGGCAAGUCUGAUGUGAAAGCCCGGGGCUCAACCGCGGGACUGCAUUGGAAACUGUCAGACUUGAGUGCAGGAGAGGUAAGUGGAAUUCCUAGUGUAGCGGUGAAAUGCGUAGAUAUUAGGAGGAACACCGGUGGCGAAGGCGGCUUACUGGACUGUAACUGACGUUGAGGCUCGAAAGCGUGGGGAGCAAACAGGAUUAGAUACCCGGGUAGUCCACGCCGUAAACGAUGAAUACUAGGUGUUGGGAGACAAUAGUUUCUCGGUGCCGCAGCAAACGCAAUAAGUAUUCCACCUGGGGAGUACGUUCGCAAGAAUGAAACUCAAAGGAAUUGGCGGGG